rnacentral:rRNA from 1 species
GAUGAACGCUGGCGGCGUGCUUAACACAUGCAAGUCGAGCGAGUGAGUUCUUCGGAACGAUCUAGCGGCGGACGGGUGAGUAACACGUGGGCAACCUGCCCCAUAGAGGGGAAUAGCCUCCCGAAAGGGAGAUUAAUACCGCAUAAAAUUAUCGAGUGGCAUCACAUGAUAAUCAAAGGAGUAAUCCGCUAUGAGAUGGGCCCGCGGCGCAUUAGCUAGUUGGUGAGGUAACGGCUCACCAAGGCGACGAUGCGUAGCCGACCUGAGAGGGUGAUCGGCCACAUUGGGACUGAGACACGGCCCAGACUCCUACGGGAGGCAGCAGUGGGGAAUAUUGCACAAUGGGGGAAACCCUGAUGCAGCAAUGCCGCGUGAGUGAUGACGGCCUUCGGGUUGUAAAGCUCUGUCUUCGGGGACGAUAAUGACGGUACCCGAGGAGGAAGCCACGGCUAACUACGUGCCAGCCGCCGCCGUAA